rnacentral:rRNA from 1 species
UACGUAGGGGGCGAGCGUUGUCCGGAUUUAUUGGGCGUAAAGAGCUCGUAGGCGGUUUGGCAAGUCGGGUGUGAAAACUCCGGGCUCAACUCGGAGACGCCACUCGAUACUGCCAUGACUCGAGUCCGGUAGGGGAGUGCGGAAUUCCUGGUGUAGCGGUGAAAUGCGCAGAUAUCAGGAGGAACACCGGUGGCGAAGGCGGCACUCUGGACGAUGACUGACGCUGAGACGCGAAAGCGUGGGGAGCAAACAGG